rnacentral:rRNA from 1 species
UGAAGAGGGAAACAACCCAGACCGCCAGCUAAGGUCCCAAAGUCAUGGUUAAGUGGGAAACGAUGUGGGAAGGCCCAGACAGCCAGGAUGUUGGCUUAGAAGCAGCCAUCAUUUAAAGAAAGCGUAAUAGCUCACUGGUCGAGUCGGCCUGCGCGGAAGAUGUAACGGGGCUAAACCAUGCACCGAAGCUGCGGCAGCGACACUCAGGUGUUGUUGGGUAGGGGAGCGUUCUGUAAGCCUGYGAAGGUGUGUCGUGAGGCAUGCUGGAGGUAUCAGAAGUGCGAAUGCUGACAUAAGUAACGAUAAAGCGGGUGAAAAGCCCGCUCGCCGGAAGACCAAGGGUUCCUGUCCAACGUUAAUCGGGGCAGGGUGAGUCGACCCCUAAGGCGAGGCCGAAAGGCGUAGUCGAUGGGAAACGGGUUAAUAUUCCCGUACUUGGUGUUACUGCGAAGGGGGGACGGAGAAGGCUAUGUUGGCCGGGCGACGGUUGUCCCGGUUUAAGCGUGUAGG